rnacentral:misc_RNA from 1 species
GAAAUGCGAUAAGUAAUGUGAAUUGCAGAAUUCCGUGAAUCAUCGAAUCUUUGAACGCACAUUGCGCCCCCUGGCAUUCCGGGGGGCGUGCCUGUCCGAGCGUCAUUUCUGCCCUCAAGCACGGCUUGUGUGUUGGGUGUGGUCCCCCCGGGGACCUGCCCGAAAGGCAGCGGCGACGUCCGUCUGGUCCUCGAGCGUAUGGGGCUCUGUCACUCGCUCGGGAAGGACCUGCGGGGGUUGGUCACCACCAUAUUUCACCACGGUUGACCUCGGAUCAGGUAGGAGUUACCCGCUGAACUUAAGC